GAUGAACGCUGGCGGCGUGCCUAAUACAUGCAAGUCGAGCGAACGGACGAGAAGCUUGCUUCUCUGAUGUUAGCGGCGGACGGGUGAGUAACACGUGGAUAACCUACCUAUAAGACUGGGAUAACUUCGGGAAACCGGAGCUAAUACCGGAUGAUAUUUUGAACCGCAUGGUUCAAAAGUGAAAGACGGUCUUGCUGUCACUUAUAGAUGGAUCCGCGCUGCAUUAGCUAGUUGGUAAGGUAACGGCUAACCAAGGCAACGAUGCAUAGCCGACCUGAGAGGGUGAUCGGCCACACUGGAACUGAGACACGGACCAGACUCCUACGGGAGGCAGCAGUAGGGAAUCUUCCGCAAUGGGCGAAAGCCUGACGGAGCAACGCCGCGUGAGUGAUGAAGGUCUUCGGAUCGUAAAACUCUGUUAUUAGGGAAGAACAUAUGUGUAAGUAACUGUGCACAUCUUGACGGUACCUAAUCAGAAAGCCACGGCUAACUACGUG
rnacentral:rRNA from 1 species